GGUUAAGGAGAUCACUUAUGAGAGGUUGCAAGAGGAGAACAAAAUUGCGUAGAACGCCAUGGGUUGUAAGAACUGAGAUAUUUCUUCAUCCUUUCAUUCUAUCGUGGAAGUUCACCUUCAACGGGUUUCUUUGGCACUGGCUCCUACUGCAAGGUGGUGCAUGUUAUGUCUGAUUCGGAUGUAUUUAUUCACAAAAUAUGUCUAGAUACAUCCAAAUUUACGACAAGAAUUAUGGAAUUGAGGGAGUACAUUCCAUUUAUUUUGCAGCGUGUUACUGGGGUAGACUUGACGUGCAUGAUCUAGCGAUAAAGAUCUUUGAAGGAGACAUGGAGAUGGUGUACGGCAGCGCUUUGAAAACCUUUUUGAAACUAUAAAGGUGAAGAGGAGGUGCGAAGCAAUCAAAGUAAACAACCGGCAUAGAUCACAAAAAGAAAUGAUAUACUCCUAUGUUGCUUUUCUCUGUAAGGUCAAAUUUUGACAGACCAAGCUAUCCACUGUUUUUUGUUAUACACAUGAGUCUCACACUUUAUCUCAUGAAAAACAAUACUUUUGGCAGCAAGCAAUUUUU